rnacentral:rRNA from 1 species
CCUUCGGGAGACAAGUAGAGUGGCGCACGGGUGAGUAACACGUAGGUAAUCUACCUUUGGAUGGGGAAUAACAACCGGAAACGGUUGCUAAUACCGCAUAAUGCAGCGGCACCUAAUGGUGACAGUUGUUAAAGCGGGGGAUCGAAAGACCUCGCGUCCAAAGAGGAGCCUGCGGCGGAUUAGCUAGUUGGUAAGGUAAUGGCUUACCAAGGCUACGAUCCGUAACCGGCCUGAGAGGGCGGUCGGUCACACUGACACUGACAUACGGGUCAGACUCCUACGGGAGGCAGCAGUCGGGAAUUUUGGGCAAUGGGCGAAAGCCUGACCCAGCAACGCCGCGUGAAGGAUGAAAUCCCUCGGGAUGUAAACUUCGCAAGAACGGGAAGAAUAAGUAGGGGACAAUACCCCCUAUGAUGACGGUACCGUUUGUAAGCUCCGGCUAACUCCGUGCCAGCAGCCGCGGUAAUACGGGGGGAGCAAGCGUUGUUCGGAUUUACUGGGCGUAAAGGGCGCGUAGGCGGUCAGCACAAGUCAAUUGUGAAAUCUCCGAGCUUAACUCGGAAAGGUCAACUGAAACUGUGCGACUAGAGUGCGGAAGGGGCAACUGGAAUUCUUGGUGUAGCGGUGAAAUGCGUAGAUAUCAAGAGGAACACCUGCGGCGAAGGCGGGUUGCUGGGCCGACACUGACGCUGAAGCGCGAAAGCCAGGGGAGCGAACGGGAUUAGAUACCCCGGUAGUCCUGGCCUUAAACGAUGAAUGCUUGGUGUCUGGGGUUAUAAAGUCCCCGGGUG